GACGAACGCUGGCGGCGUGCUUAACACAUGCAAGUCGAACGGAAAGGCCCUGCUUUUGUGGGGUGCUCGAGUGGCGAACGGGUGAGUAACACGUGAGUAACCUGCCCUUGACUUUGGGAUAACUUCAGGAAACUGGGGCUAAUACCGGAUAGGAGCUCCUGCUGCAUGGUGGGGGUUGGAAAGUUUCGGCGGUUGGGGAUGGACUCGCGGCUUAUCAGCUUGUUGGUGGGGUAGUGGCUUACCAAGGCUUUGACGGGUAGCCGGCCUGGGGGGGUGACCGGGCCACAUGGGACCGGGGAUACGGCCCGGACUCUUCCGGGAGCAAGCGGUGGGAAUAAUUGCACAAUGGGCGGAAGCCUGAUGCGCCACCGCGGGGUGCGGGAGGACGGCCUUGGGGUUGUAACCGGCUUUCGCUUGGGCCGAGCCGUAGGUACCGUAAUUGGGUAAGGAGGAACGGCUAACUUACUU
rnacentral:rRNA from 1 species